GUACCCGUACCGCAAACCGACACAGGUGGGUGAGGAGAGUAUCCUAAGGCCAGCGAGAGAACUGUUGUUAAGGAACUCGGCAAAAUGACCCCGUAACUUAGGGAUAAGGGGUGCCACCAUCAGGUGGCCGCAGAGAAUAGGCCCAAGCGACUGUUUACCAAAAACAUAGGUUUCUGCUAAGUCGCAAGACGAUGUAUAGGAGCUGACGCCUGCCCGGUGCUGGAAGGUUAAGGGGAUCUGUUAGAGCAAUCGAAGCAGUGAGCUUAAGC
rnacentral:rRNA from 1 species